rnacentral:miRNA from 1 species
UAACCUUUCCUACUCUCACAGU